UACGUAGGGAGCAAGCGUUGUCCGGAUUUACUGGGUGUAAAGGGUGCGUAGGCGGAUUGGCAAGUCAGAAGUGAAAUCCAUGGGCUUAACCCAUGAACUGCUUUUGAAACUGUUAAUCUUGAGUGAAGUAGAGGUAGGCGGAAUUCCCGGUGUAGCGGUGAAAUGCGUAGAGAUCGGGAGGAACACCAGUGGCGAAGGCGGCCUACUGGGCUUUAACUGACGCUGAGGCACGAAAGUGUGGGUAGCAAACAGG
rnacentral:rRNA from 1 species